UAUACAGCGAAACUGCGAAUGGCUCAUUAUAUAAGUUAUCGUUUAUUUGAUAGUGCCUUACUACUUGGAUAACCGUGGUAAUUCUAGAGCUAAUACAUGCUAAAAACCCCGACUUCGGAAGGGGUGUAUUUAUUAGAUACAAAACCAAUGCCCUUCGGGGCUCUUUGGUGAUUCAUGAUAACUAUACGAAUCGCACGGCCUUGCGCCGGCGAUGGUUCAUUCAAAUUUCUUCCCUAUCAACUUUCGAUGUUUGGGUAUUGGCCAAACAUGGUUGCAACGGGUAACGGAGGGUUAGGGCUCGACCCCGGAGAAGGAGCCUGAGAAACGGCUACUACAUCCAAGGAAGGCAGCAGGCGCGCAAAUUACCCAAUCCCGACUCGGGGAGGUAGUGACAAUAAAUACUGAUACAGGGCCCUUUCGGGCCUUGUAAUUGGAAUGAGUACAAUUUAAAUCCCUUAACCAGGAACAAUUGGAGGGCAAGUCUGGUGCCAGCAGCCGCGGUAAUUCCAGCUCCAAUAGCGUAUAU
rnacentral:rRNA from 1 species